AUUGGGAGUUUAAACUGCUUGGAGAGCAAACGGAAAGUGGUACCAGGGAAGGAGCGGUUGAGUCCUGACCUGGCAGAUUUCUCAAAUGCAACAAGAGUGACAGAACCAGGAGGCAGAAAUGGAUGAAGCUGGAAACCGUCAUUCUCAGCAAAAUGACACAAGAACAGAACACGAAACACAUGUUCUUACUCAUAGGGCCCUGCCAGGAAAUUAAAAGAGUCUUCCCUGAACAAACUGGAGUGCCUCAGAAGAAAAGACUCAUAUAUAAUGUCUUUCGUGGGGACCCGAGAAAAUAUCUGCACCCCACUUAAUUUCUCUGUGUGACCUAUAAACCCUUUCCUUCACACAUUCACACAGACCUUCCAUCAUCUUUAGGGUGCCUCACUUUUCAUUAAACAUGGUCAAAAUCAAAUCAACAGAUAGUCGAAGAAACUACCUUAAAACUUGAAAAUCAGAGACCAAGGUACACAAACAGAUGAAAUUGUCUUUGAGAAUUAGAACUCAGGAGUAGAGACGAGUAGAGCAAAGAAACCCUCUUUUCAGUUAUAAGUCUUGAAUUAUUUAACUUUUAUUUUAAGGUAGAGUUUCACUCUUGUUGCCUAGGGUGGAGUGCAAUGGUGCAAUCUCGGCUCACUGCAACCUCUGCCUCCCGGGUUCAAGCAAUUCUCCUGCCUCAGCCUCCCAAGUAGCUGGGAUCACAGGCAUCCACCACCAUGCCUGGCUAAAUUUGUUGUUUUUUUUUUUUAGUAGAGACUGGGUUUCUCUAUAUUGGUCAGGUUGGUCUCAAACUCCUGACCUCAGGUGAUCUGCCUGCCUCAGCCUCUCAAAGUGUUGGGAUUACAGAUAGUUACAAAUUAUUUGACUUUUAAAUCUAUGAACAUGUAUUUUAUGAUUAGUAUAUGUAUAUUUUUAAAGAAAGACUGUUUCAGAAAUAGACAUUUAACUAUACAUAACUCUGAGCAGUAAUUUUUUUGCAUAUUUGAUAUGUUUCUGUUAUGUUUAAAUUUUCACAAUAAUCUUAUCUUUAAAAUUUUUUAAACAAAAUACAAGCAUUAAAAAAAGAAAGAAAGAAAAAUGAGUAAUGCAUCCAGGAAUAGGCAGGGCUGCCUAAGCACACAGAAUGGCUGAGUUGAGGGAUAACCCUAGCUCUUUAGUUUCUUCCAGUUGUUGAAAGGGACACUCAUGUACGUGAUUUUAAAAUCACCCUUAAGUCUGAAGUGGCAGCAUCACUGAGGAUCUAACAAGAACAGCCACAGCACAGACCUGCAGAGUUUGCAAAGCAGGUGUCACACUCUUGCAAGCCACUAAGGGGUAAGGUGCUAAGCAUUGGGUGGCAAACCAAGUAAGAUGAGCCUUUGUAAUUCCUAUGGAUCUGAGCUCAAAAAUACAUUGCUGCCCUCUCUCUUACUUUUCCAUCCACAAGAUAUUGAAGCUCCCCCUGCAAGGGAGUUAUAAUAGGAAUAAAGCAUUCCCUGGAGGGACA
rnacentral:lncRNA from 13 species